UUGGUUAAGUUAGAAAGGGCGCACGGUGGAUGCCUUGGCACUAGGAGCCGAAGAAGGACGGGACUAACACCGAUAUGCUUUGGGGAGCUGUACGUAAGCGUUGAUCCAGAGAUUUCCGAAUGGGGGAACCCACUAUCUUUAGUCGGAUAGUAUCCUUACGUGAAUACAUAGCGUGAGGAAGGCAGACCCAGGGAACUGAAACAUCUAAGUACCUGGAGGAAGAGAAAGAAAAAUCGAUUUCCUGAGUAGCGGCGAGCGAAACGGAAAGAGCCCAAACCAAGAAGCUUGCUUCUUGGGGUUGUAGGACACUCUAUACGGAGUUACAAAAGAAAGUUAUAAAUGAAGCGGUCUGGAAAGGCCCGCCAAAGACGGUAACAGCCCGGUAGUUGAAAUAGCUUUCCCUCCAGAGUGGAUCCUGAGUACGGCGGAACACGUGAAAUUCCGUCGGAAUCCGGGAGGACCAUCUCCCAAGGCUAAAUACUCCCUAGUGACCGAUAGUGAACCAGUACCGUGAGGGAAAGGUGAAAAGCACCCCGGAAGGGGAGUGAAACAGUUCCUGAAACCGUGUGCCUACAAGUAGUUAGAGCCCGUUAAUGGGUGAUAGCGUGCCUUUUGUAGAAUGAACCGGCGAGUUACGAUUUGUUGCAAGGUUAAGCGGAAAAAGCGGAGCCGUAGCGAAAGCGAGUCUGAAUAGGGCGCAUAAGUAACAGGUCGUAGACCCGAAACCAGGUGAUCUACCCAUGUCCAGGAUGAAGGUAAGGUAAUACUUACUGGAGGUCCGAACCCACGCACGUUGAAAAGUGCGGGGAUGAGGUGUGGGUAGCGGAGAAAUUCCAAUCGAACUUGGAGAUAGCUGGUUCUCUCCGAAAUAGCUUUAGGGCUAGCCUCGAGGUAAAGAGUCAUGGAGGUAGAGCACUGUUUGGACUAGGGGCCCUUCUCGGGUUACCGAAUUCAGAUAAACUCCGAAUGCCAUGUACUUAUACUCGGGAGUCAGACUGCGAGUGAUAAGAUCCGUAGUCGAAAGGGAAACAGCCCAGACCACCAGUUAAGGUCCCCAAAUAUAUGUUAAGUGGAAAAGGAUGUGGGGUUGCUUAGACAACCAGGAUGUUGGCUUAGAAGCAGCCACCAUUGAAAGAGUGCGUAAUAGCUCACUGGUCGAGUGACCCCGCGCCGAAAAUGUACCGGGGCUAAACAUAUUACCGAAACUGUGGAUGAACCUCUUUAGAGGUUCGUGGUAGGAGAGCGUUCUAAGGGCGGUGAAGUCAGACCGGAAGGACUGGUGGAGCGCUUAGAAGUGAGAAUGCCGGUAUGAGUAGCGAAAGAAGGGUGAGAAUCCCUUCCACCGAAUAUCUAAGGUUUCCUGAGGAAGGCUCGUCCGCUCAGGGUUAGUCGGGACCUAAGCCGAGGCCGAUAGGCGUAGGCGAUGGACAACAGGUAGAGAUUCCUGUACCAGUGCUAAUUGUUUAACCGAUGGGGUGACACAGAAGGAUAGGGAAUCGCACGAAUGGAAAUGUGCGUCCAAGCA
rnacentral:rRNA from 1 species